GAUGAACGCUGGCGGCGUGCCUAAUACAUGCAAGUCGAGCGAACAGACGAGGAGCUUGCUCCUCUGACGUUAGCGGCGGACGGGUGAGUAACACGUGGAUAACCUACCUAUAAGACUGGGAUAACUUCGGGAAACCGGAGCUAAUACCGGAUAAUAUAUUGAACCGCAUGGUUCAAUAGUGAAAGACGGUUUUGCUGUCACUUAUAGAUGGAUCCGCGCCGCAUUAGCUAGUUGGUAAGGUAACGGCUUACCAAGGCAACGAUGCGUAGCCGACCUGAUAGGGUGGUCGGCCGCCCUGGGACUGAGACCGGGUCCAGACUCCUACGGGAGGCACCAGUAGGGAAUCUUCCGCAAUGGGCGAAAGCCUGACGGAGCAACGCCGCGUGAGUGAUGAAGGUCUUCGGAUCGUAAAACUCUGUUAUUAGGGAAGAACAAAUGUGUAAGUAACUAUGCGCGUCUUGACGGUACCUGAGCAGAAAGCCACGGCUAACUACGUG
rnacentral:rRNA from 1 species